UAGAAUAUAUUUUUAUCUUUAGCUUGUCAUUUUCAUGAGACCUUUCAAAUCUAAAUAUCAGCGAUACAACAACACUUCUUCAGUUCUAUAAUUUAAAAAUAUUCUACUCAGCUCCUGUUCGGUCUCUCACCUCUCCAUAUACGAGAUGAAUAGAAAACCUUCCCUUGCCAGGAGUACUAAUACACUACUAGAGAGAUAUGGUUCGAUAUAUGAAGAUCUUGAGAUGGAAGAAAAGGAUUUAGCCUGGGAAAAAAAUAAGACUCUCCUUUCUCCAUAUUCUAAACAGCUUACUCCAUGUAUAACAAUAACACUGAAUGAUGAAGAAGAAGGAAGCUCUCAGGCAAAAAUAAAUUAUUUUUGUAUAAAAUUUAAAUCUUCAGUUUUUUUUCUCCACUUCUGAAAUUGAUUUCUUUCUCAAGAAAUGUAAUUAUUUCUCUGAAAUAUAACAAUUCUCUAGAGAUAGAGAAAUAAAUGAUAUCUGUAUUCUGCGAGAAAUUAUUUUUUUCUAGGACAAUAGUGAAAAUAGAUUGAUGGUUCCGAUAUCUUUAGAGCGGCGUCCCUCUAUAUUUGGUUUGGAUCAGCAGGACUUAAAUAGCCUAGACUUCAAACAGGAAUCACCGUCAAAGGAAGAGUAAAAUAUGAUUAUAAUAUUUUCAGGAAAUUUUAGUAUUUCAAAUAAAAAGUACAAAAAUAUGAGGCAUGAGCUGCACCCCCUUUCUUCCCAAGAAAUAAAUCUUUUAAGUUGCUUUCUUCAAAAAUUCUUUAGAAUUCCGUUCAAGUUUGAAAAUUUCUCGACCAUUAGAUCAAAAAACUAUAAAAUAAACUUAGCAUUGUUUUCUAGCCCUAAUCGACCACUUUUCUAAAAUAAAAAUCAUAAACCCUUCACAGUCCUGCUUAUCCCUCUCAUCACUAAAGGAGAGGGAGCGGAAACCCAGCAUUAGUUUCUGUGAGACGGUUACAGUUGUUACUGCCAGUAGGAGAGGAAGUUCACCAGUUCUUUCUCUGAGUAGUAAUGGCAGUGAAUCCAGUGAAUUGGCUAGUUUUGUUCAAAAUCAGGCAAAU